rnacentral:rRNA from 1 species
UACGGAGGGUGCAAGCGUUAAUCGGAAUUACUGGGCGUAAAGCGCACGUAGGUGGUUUGUUAAGCCAGCUGUGAAAUCCCCAGGCUCAACCUGGGAACUGCGUCUGAUACUGGAUGGCUUGAAUUCGGGAGAGGAAUGCGGAAUUCCAGGUGUAGCGGUGAAAUGCGUAGAUAUCUGGAGGAACACCGGUGGCGAAGGCGGCAUUCUGGACCGAUAUUGACGCUGAGGAGCGAAAGCCAGGGGAGCAAACGGG